AUUGAACGCUGGCGGCAUGCUUUACACAUGCAAGUCGAACGGUAACAGGCCGCAAGGUGCUGACGAGUGGCGAACGGGUGAGUAAUGCAUCGGAACGUGCCCAGUCGUGGGGGAUAACGCAGCGAAAGCUGUGCUAAUACCGCAUACGAUCUAUGGAUGAAAGCGGGGGACAGUAAGGCCUCGCGCGAUUGGAGCGGCCGAUGUCAGAGUAGGUAGUUGGGGGGGUAAAGGCCUACCAAGCCGACGAUCUGUAGCUGGUCUGAGAGGAAGACCAGGCAGACUGGGACUGAGACACAGCCCAGACUGCUACGGGAGGCAGCAGUGGGGAAUUUUGGACAAUGGGCGCAAGCCUGAUCCAGCAAUGCCGCGUGCAGGAAGAAGGCCUUCGGGUUGUAAACUGCUUUUGUACGGAACGAAACGGUCUGGGUUAAUACCCUGGGCUAAUGACGGUACCGUAAGAAUGAGCACCGGCUAACUACGUGCCAGCCGCCGCGGUAAAAC
rnacentral:rRNA from 1 species